UAAGCCCUAAUCCGCCUCUUUGCUCUUUGUACAACAACAAAGGCCUCACAUCAUACUUGGAUUCUCGUUACUUCAUCCUUGAAGAGUUGAAGUUGUGGUUGAAGAUCUGAAGAAUGAAGCAUCUGCUAGUCGUUUUCCUACUUGUAAUGAUCAGUUCUCAUGUGGCUACAAGCAGAAAAGUCAUGCCGGCCGAGAUGCAAGAGCAAGAGAAGAGAUUUCUGGUCGCAAAUGAUGAGGGUAAAAUCGAUGAUAACUCCGGAUCAAGCGCGGAUAAUCACCAUCACUUGCCAAGGCAGGACUUCAACAAUCACAGCGGAGGUGGCUCCAUGGGAGGUGAUGACUCGGACGCUCGCAAGAACUAAGAAUAAUUAGCUACGUAAGUACUUGGGAAGUUUAGUAAUGAAGAUUAUAUAUAGUUAUUUCCUAUUUCCAGUUAAAACUAAAAUCAGUGAGGGUGGAGUUUUCCCAUCAGUACGUUUGCACGAUAGGGUUAUCUGUUUGUCAAUAAUCGAUUAUGAAGAAUAAUCCUCAUGUAUCCUAGUAUAUGAAAUGGCUGUGGCUAUGGCGCAUGCAUGCAUGCAUGCAUGGUAAAUAAAGAAAAUAAAAUCUUUGAUUUCCUUUUAGUCCAAA